AGAACUUAUAGGUAAGACGAAUUUUGGGUGGAAGAUUUUGUGGAUGGGUUGGUGUUCCCUCCCACCACUGGAAGUCCUACCCGGCUACAGGAGGUGGCUACUUCAGCCACUGGUGAAAGAACAAAUGAAAGAACCCCAAAAUGGGGAGACUCUCGCACCAGUCACGGAAUGACGGCGAGUCCCAGGAAACACGAGAAGCCGAUCUUGAUGUAACAACAAGAGGCAGCUUUAUUAAUGAGAUCUCGGGCCAACACCGAGGUCUUGGGCUGACACGACACGCAUCUCACGCUGGAGAUAGAGGAGCCGACCACGAGCCUCUAAAGGCAGGGGUUUAUAUAGGGAAAGCCAGGGGAUUUUGUGAGGUUACACAUGAUUGGCUGAUUCAAAUGGUGCACAGUUACUUUUGGCUCGGAGUUACAUCAGCAAAGCAUACGUGCAACCUAGUAUCUUAGCAAUGUGGGUAGGGUGACUCAUCUCACUCAGCAGGGGGAUGACCCAUCCUCAGGGAGUGAAGGAAGGGGAGGGGGCGGCUCUUUUUGAAAUUUAACUCUUCACUGGUAAGUUAUGUAUUAUAUAGAAAAUAACUCCAUUCCCAUCCAUAUGUAAGCAGAUUUAAUUCAAAUAAAUUGUUAUUGGAUUC